rnacentral:rRNA from 1 species
GACGAACGCUGGCGGCGUGCUUAACACAUGCAAGUCGAGCGGUAAGGCCCUUCGGGGUACGCGAGCGGCGAACGGGUGAGUAACACGUGGGUGACCUGCCCUCAGCUUUGGGAUAAGCCUGGGAAACCGGGUCUAAUACUGGAUAUGACUCCAUGACGCAUGUUGUGGGGUGAAAGCCUUGUGCGGCUGAGGAUGGGCCCGCGGCCUAUCAGCUUGUUGGUGGGGUGANGGCCUACCAAGGCGACGACGGGUAGCCGGCCUGAGAGGGCGACCGGCCACACUGGGACUGAGACACGGCCCAGACUCCUACGGGAGGCAGCAGUGGGGAAUCUUGCGCAAUGGGCGAAAGCCUGACGCAGCGACGCCGCGUGAGGGA